rnacentral:lncRNA from 1 species
AGCGAGGUCCUCGGCCUCGUCCUCGCCGGGGGGGGGAGCCGUCACCGUGAUGGUGAUGCCACCGGCGGCGCCCGUGUCCUCGUCCCCGACGUCCUCGUCCCCGAUGUCCCCGUCCCCCUUGUCCCCAAUGUCCUUGCUUCUGUCCCCAAAGUCCUUGUCUCCUACAUCCUUGUCCCUUAGGGUGGUGACAUCCCUGUCCCCAAGGUCCCUUAGGACUGGGACACCCUUGUCCCUGAUGUCCCCAGGGGCUGGGAUGUCCCUGUCCCCGAUGUCCUUGUCCCCAGCAGCUGGGAUGUCCCCAACGUCCCUUAGGGUUGCGAGGAUCCCGGUGUCCUUGUCCCCAACAGCCCUCGGGGCAGUGACGUCCCCGUCCCCAACUCCCUUGUCCCCAAUGUCCCUUAGGGCCAGGACAUCCUUGUCCCCGAUGUCCCCAAGGUCUGGGACACCCUCAUCCCUGGUGUCCCUGUCCCCAAUGUCCUCAGAGGUUGGGACAUCCCUGUCCCCGAUGUCCCCAAGGUCUGGGACACCCUCGUCCCUGGUGUCCCUGUCCUUAACGUCCCUUAGAGCCAGGACACCCCUGUCCCCACUGUCCUUGUCCCCAACAGCCCUCAGGAUGGUGACAUCCCUGUCCCCCACGUCCCCAAUGUCUCCAGGGAUUGGGACAUCCCGGWCCUCACUGUCCUUGUCCCCCAUGUCACUUAGAGCCGGGACAUCCUUGUCCCCAAUGUCCUUGUCCUCAGUGUCCCUCAGAGAUAGGAUGUCCUUGUCCCUCAUGUCCUUGUCCCCAGUGUCCCUCAGGGUGGUGACACCCCUGUCUUUGAUGUCCUUGUCCCCAACARCCCUCAGGACAGUGACASCCCUGUCCCUGAUGUCCCCAAUGUCCCCAGGAGCAGGGACAUCCCYGUCCCCAAUGUCCCUUAGGGCAGUGACGUCCCUGUCCCCGAUGUCCUUGUCCUUGAAGGUUGUGACGUUCCCGCCCUCGACGUCCCUUGGGGUUGGGACACCCUUGACCCCAACAUCCUUGUCCGGGAUGUCGCGGUCCCCAAUGUCCCUUAGGGCCGUGACAUCCUUGUCCCUCACGUCCUUCGGGCCUGGGACGUCUCCGUCCCCAACGUCCUUUAGGCUUGGGACAUCUCCGACCCCAGUGUCCUUGUCCCCAGGAGCUGGGACAUCCCCAUCUCCAAUGUCCCUUGGGCUGGGGACAUCCCUGUCCCCGAUGUCCCUUGGGCUGGGGACAUCCCUGUCCCCGAUGUCCUUGUCCCUGGGA